UUGAGUGGUAUCAAGCGUCUCAAGCCAUACCUUGCUGAAACAACAAUCGCAGAAGAUGAAGAAAUUCCCUUAUGCAAUCCCUCCACAGCCUAAUUGGCUACCAAAAGUCAAGCUAGUGACUUAAAUCGAGCGCUUGGUGGGAGGCAACCCACUGGUAAGUGUAAAUAUGUUUUUCCUUUCAAUUCUUUUGUAGUUUGUUUUGAAUUUUUGUUUCAGGAAAAAGAAAACUGAAGUUUCCCGGAGGAACAAUCCAGAGACUGUUCUCGCUGGAGAACAGUUGUUCCCUCAGGUAAGCGUUCGGACCCUAAAAAAAAAAAAGAAGAGUAAGCGGUUAGGGUUUGCCUAUAUAAGGCUAACUCACCCCAC
rnacentral:lncRNA from 1 species